CCUACGGGAGGCAGCAGUGAGGAAUAUUGGUCAAUGGACGAGAGUCUGAACCAGCCAAGUAGCGUGAAGGAUGACUGCCCUAUGGGUUGUAAACUUCUUUUAUAAAGGAAUAAAACGAGGCACGUGUGCCUUUUUGCAUGUACUUUAUGAAUAAGGAUCGGCUAACUCCGUGCCAGCAGCCGCGGUAAUACGGAGGUUCCGAGCGUUAUCCGGAUUUAUUGGGGUUAAAGGGAGCGUAGAUGGGUUGUUAAGUCAGUUGUGAAAGUUUGCGGCUCAACCGUAAAAUUGCAAUUGAUACUGGAAGUCUUGAGUACAGUUGAGGUAGGCGGAAUGCGUGGUGUAGCGGUGAAAUGCUUAGAUAUCACGAAGAACACCGAUUGCGAAGACAGCUUACUAAACUGUGACUGACAUUGAUGCUCGAAAGUGUGGGGAGCAAACAGGAUUAGAUACCCCAGUAGUC
rnacentral:rRNA from 1 species